rnacentral:rRNA from 1 species
GACGAACGCUGGCGGCGUGCCUAAUACAUGCAAGUCGAACGCAGUGGGGACGGGUGAGUAACACGUGGGUAACCUCCCAUCAGAGGGGAUAACACUUGGAAACAGGUGCUAAACCGAUACUGAUGGAUGGACCCGCGGUGCAUUAGCUAGUUGGUGAGGUAACGGCUCACCAAGGCCACGAUGCAUAGCCGACCUGAGAGGGUGAUUGGCCACACUGGGGAGUGGACACGGGCCAGACUCCUACGGGAGGCAGCAGGAGGGAAGCUUCGGCAAUGGACGAAAGGCUGACCGGGCAACGCCGCGUGAGUGAAGGAGGUUUUCGGAUCGUAAAACUCUGUUGUUAGGGGAACGGUAUCUAACCAGAAAACCACGGCUAACUACGGGCCAGCAGGCGCGGGAAUUC